GAUGAACGCUGGCGGCGUGCCUAAUACAUGCAAGUCGAGCGAACAGACGAGGAGCUUGCUCCUCUGACGUUAGCGGCGGACGGGUGAGUAACACGUGGAUAACCUACCUAUAAGACUGGGAUAACUUCGGGAAACCGGCGCUAAUACCGGAUAAUAUAUUGAACCGCAUGGUUCAAUAGUGAAAGACGGUUUUGCUGUCACUUAUAGAUGGAUCCGCGCCGCAUUAGCUAGUUGGUAAGGUAACGGCUUACCAAGGCAACGAUGCGUAGCCGACCUGAGAGGGUGAUCGGCCACACUGGAACUGAGACACGGUCCAGACUCCUACGGGAGGCAGCAGUAGGGAAUCUUCCGCAAUGGGCGAAAGCCUGACGGAGCAACGCCGAGUGAGUGAUGAAGGUCUUCGGAUCGUAAAACUCUGUUAUUAGGGAAGAACAAAUGUGUAAGUAACUAUGCACGGCUUGACGGUACCUAAUCAGAAGGCCACGGCUAACUACGUG
rnacentral:rRNA from 1 species